rnacentral:rRNA from 1 species
AAAUUGAAGAGUUUGAUCAUGGCUCAGAUUGAACGCUGGCGGCAGGCCUAACACAUGCAAGUCGAACGGUAACAGAAAGCAGCUUGCUGCUUUGCUGACGAGUGGCGGACGGGUGAGUAAUGUCUGGGAAACUGCCUGAUGGAGGGGGAUAACUACUGGAAACGGUAGCUAAUACCGCAUAACGUCGCAAGACCAAAGAGGGGGACCUUCGGGCCUCUUGCCAUCGGAUGUGCCCAGAUGGGAUUAGCUUGUUGGUGGGGUA